AUUUUAAAAAAAUAAGAGGGAAAGGAAGGGCAGAAGGAAGGAAAGGGUCUCUAUGUGGAGUGUGCGGGUUCGGGUUUUUAUCUCAGGUAUAUGGCGUGCAACUUGACCUGUCAGCAGACGCCCAGGUAGAGGCAGCCUCGGGGGAGGGAAGCGUCACUUGGCCACCCAUUUUUAUAGCCAGCCGCUGGCGGUAAACCUUCUCUGAAGCCUCCAAGACUGCGCCCCCUGCUGUGAACUCGGAGCCCAGAGCCCAGGUUUAACCUUGCACACCCCCUCCCCCCCCCCCCCCCCAAGCCCACUGUCACUGCGUCCAUGGCGGUCUUUGCUGACUUUUAAAGCUGCCGGCUCUUGGGAAGGACAAAUACCAUACCAUAUGAUUUCACUUGUAUGCGGAAUCUAAAGAACAAAAUAAACAAACAAAACUGAAUCAGACUCAUAGAUACAGAGAACGGAUUUAUGGUUGCCAGAGAGGCGGGGGAUUGGGAGGUGGGUGAAAGGGGUAAAAGGAUUAAGUACAAAUUGGCAGUUACAAAGUAGUCAUGGGGUGUAAAGUGCAGCACAGGGAAUGUAGUCCAUGAUAUUGAGAUAACAGUGUAUGGUGCCAUGUGGGCACUGGAACUAUCAUGGGAACACUGAAAAGUAGAUGAUGUCUAACCACUGUGCUGUAUGCCUGAAACUAAUACAAAAUAAUAGUGUUAACUGUAAUUGAAAAUUUUUUUAAAAAAAAAAAUUUAAACUGCCAAAUCCUAAAGCUCCAGCAGUCAAAAUGAAACUGGGGGCUGGACACAUUUCCACACCUUCUGUUACUUCUGUAGUCCCCAUCUUAUGACAUCAUUUUAGAAGCCUUUUGCCCUACAAGACCAGAGAGGGAAAACUCAGAGCAGCGCGUAGGACCCAAAGAAUUGUGACCUAAGUAAUCCCUACAGAGCAAGGUUUGCAUAAAAGCGAAGGAACUGAAGGCGUGCAGAGGGGUGUGUGCCAACUUGUACAACUGGCCAAAAUUUUAAUUUCAGUUCAAGAAUGUCCUACAGUUCAAAAAAGAUUUUGUUUGAGACAUAAUCACAUAAUGGAAGAUGAAAGAAGCACAAGCUUCAUAUGCAAAUGUUUGUGUUUGGAAAGCCUGGAGGAUAGAGAACAGAAUGUUAGACCCAGAAUCCAGGAAAUGCCAGCGCAAAGCCUGUACAUGUUGAGAUAAACUAGAUCCAGUCAUUGCCCCACCAUACAGCUGACAGAUCUCGCUUUACUUUUGUGUUCUCCUUUGGAAAAGGUUACUUAGCAACUUAGAUAUGCCUGUUAUAUGAUGGAAUGCCCCCUUUGUCUAUACGCAUAUUACCAUUGGGGACCUCCAAGACAUUGGACAUAUGAACUACUUAAAAACUUAAGUUGGAACAAGACGAUGACCCUGGAAAUGAAGGUUUCUGUUUAUCAAAGAGAUCCAUGGAUUACAUUCUAUUGUUCAUCGUAUUGCACAGUCCUGUGCCAUAUAUCUAAUGGAUGUUCAACAAUUAUUGAUCAAAGUCAUGAAUGUUUUUCUUUGUUUCCUCUAGACACAACCUAUCUGUGGACAACAUAUUAUAAUACAAGUAGGUGAUUGUUUGUGCUAAUGGCUAAUGAACAGAUUUUCUUACUGGCAGCUCUAUUCUUGGACCAAAGACAGGGACAUCCAGAGGGGAGAGCAAGCUCAUUUUUUCUAUUCUCACCCCUGCUGCAACACAGCCCACCAACCCAAGGGCCAUCACCCACCAGGCACCAUUCAUGUCUAUUUCUGAUAUAGCUUUUGUUCUUUCCCAAGAGCCUUGUUAAAGUUUAUGUUGCGUUAGAUGUUUUCAUGUUGCUCCACUUCUAAGUAUCCACCCAUUUCCUCCACCUAAUUGCUGAAAGCAUCAGCCUUCAUUUUCUCCCUGUGUUCUUUUCAUCAGGACUAGGUCAGCUCGUAUCCAAUAAGAUACAGGAUUUGGACACAUGAAACGAAUUGUGUUGCCAUCCACCUGACAAUGUUCUUAUAAAGCAAGUAGACAUAAAUGUUACAAAGGCUUUAAGUAUAACCACUUAUUCAAACUCAGUGGGACAUACUGGCAGUCACUUAACUCAUUCAGCAAAUAUUCACCGAGCAGCUCCUAUGUGCCAAGAACUAUGAAAAGGGGUAAAUUUUCAAGAGUGACAAGAAAUUGUGUCUGCCCUCAAGAACUGUGACCUUUAUAAACAUCCUUUAGAAAAUGCCAGCAGAUUUUGGUAAGUCAUUGAGUAGGUAUUAAGGAAAAAAAUUAUAUUAAAUAUUUUAUGAAUUAUGUAGUCUAGUUGCACCAUGCUUAAAGAUUGGUUCUAAAGUCAGAAUUAAGGUGAUUUUGAAUUACCCUUUAAUUAGAAUCUCAUCAAGAACUGUCACAUGCUCAUACUCUUAAAGGUAUGAUGCUGCUGAAACAGAGAAGAGCAGAUGAACAACUCCCUCUCAUGCUCUCACCAGGAGCUACACCCACUCACAGGCAGUCAGAAUCUCCUCAGCUACUCAAAUGGUUAUUUUCUGAACAAAAUAUUACAGCCUAAAUUAAAUUUGACUAUAUUUCAACUUCGCAAUAAAAGUGAAGCUCCUGAA